GCUGACCAACAUGGCGGAGUCUGAAGCGUCUGCUGCGGGACGCAUGGUGUAACUCUGUUCCGGGCGGGGGAGGAAGAGGCAGAGUUCAAGCAGUUCAAUGAGCCUGAAACCAGGUGAGCUACAGGCGAGCAGUAGCUGCAGGCUCAGACUUACAGCUGAGAGAUAAUUCAGGACCUGGACCUUGAGCAGUCUCAUCAGCUGCUACACGCUGUCUGAUGAGGGACCCAUGCAUGAUGUUCAACCUACUGUCUUCAUUACCUGGUGACCCUACAGCAUCACCUCACCCUGUCCAGGUUCAGCCAGCCUGGUGUUUCUGCCAGAGAUGCAGAUUCCCUCCAACAUGAAGCACUUACAGACAGAAGAGUAGAUAUCAAGCUGCUGUGUGUGGAGAUCUGUCACCCAGACUGUAUUUCCCUAAUUUUAUACGUUUUUUCUUACUUCACUUCACUUUUUAGGUUUCAACUUACUUUUUUUCUCAUGUUUGCUGAAAAAUUAAAAUAAAUAUGGAAAAUAA